GUUGCUAGCAGGUAAUGCUGAGGACUCUGGAAAGACUGCCGGCGUAAGCCGCGAGGAAGGUGGGGAUGACGUCAAAUCAUCAUGGCCUUUAUGCCUAGGGCGACACACGUGCUACAAUGGCGUGAACAGAGGGUAGCGAGACCGCGAGGUGGAGCCAAUCCCAGAAAUCACGUCCCAGUUCGGAUUGGAGUCUGCAACUCG
rnacentral:rRNA from 1 species